GAUGAUGUGGUUUAAUUCGAUGCAACGCGAAAAACCUUACCUACCCUUGACAUGCCCGGAAUCCUGCAGAGAUGUGGGAGUGCUCGAAAGAGAGCCGGGACACAGGUGCUGCAUGGCCGUCGUCAGCUCGUGUCGUGAGAUGUUGGGUUAAGUCCCGCAACGAGCGCAACCCUUGUCAUUAGUUGCUACGAAAGGGCACUCUAAUGAGACUGCCGGUGACAAACCGGAGGAAGGUGGGGAUGACGUCAGGUCCUCAUGGCCCUUAUGGGUAGGGCUACACACGUCAUACAAUGGCCGGUACAGAGGGCUGCCAACCCGCGGGGGGGAGCUAAUCCCAGAAAACCGGUCGUAGUCCGGAUCGCAGUCUGCAACUCGACUGCGUGAAGUCGGAAUCGCUAGUAAUCGCGGAUCAGCUUGCCGCGGUGAAUACGUUCCCGGGUCUUGUACACACCGCCCGUAAUCGAUUCCCGGGCCGCCUGGGGCCGGGCUGG
rnacentral:rRNA from 1 species